AUGACGGAGAACGAAUUAAAAUGCCUCCCUGCAUGGGCUUACAAUGGCAGGCCCAUAUACACAAGAAAUAUACAGAGGAAAGCACUGCAAACGGGCCGUAGUCUUUUCCGCAUCCGGCAUCCCCACCUGUUCUCCACUGGCACGCGCAUCUCCCCGCAGACUCUGCCGGACUCUGAAACCCCACGCAGACACAGCUCCGCUCCGCCCUCACCCGGCCACCUCCUCCCACCCACCGCCGCCGGCGGAGCCAUGGAGGUCGGCGGCGAGGAGUUCGCGGUCGGCGUGGUGAUCUCCGCGAAGACCACCCUCGGGGAGGAGUUCGAGGGCCAGAUCGUCUCCUUCGACCGCCCGAGCAACCUCCUCGUCAUCCAGGAGGGCGUGGGCAGGGCGGAGAGGGGCGAGCGGCGGAACGUGAGGGUGCUCAAGGCCAACUACAUCCAGGAGUUCUCCGUCGUCGGAAAGUACGACGACCCGCUCGACCCGGCUGGCUGUGUGCUCGACCUCGCCGCCAUCCACGCCAGGGAGGAGGCCGCCCUCAGGCAAGCUGAGAUUGAAGCUGAGAGAAUUGGUGUUGGUGUCACCCCAGAAGCUCAAAGAUUAUUUGAUGCAUUGUCGAAGACGCUUCCAGUUCAUUGGGACAAGACCGACAUUGUUGUAAUGAAGGAGGUUCGUGUAUGCAGUCCCUACCUGCCUGAAAAUGUCAGCGGCGGAACAUCAGCUGCUAAUGAACGGGUUAAGAAAGUGCUGGACUUUGAGAGGAAAAGACAACAUGUGCGUGUACCUGGCCAAUUCUAA
rnacentral:rRNA from 1 species